UUUGGAAUUUGCGGAAACCUAUUCUAAUAGGCGCGGCAUUGUUUUCGAUUCCUUGUUGAUUUCCGCCAUGGAUGAACAUCGAUCUCAGCCGGUUUGCGCUCAGGAAGCUCUUGGUUUGCUUAAUUGCGUUACGGAGUCUCCCUUCGAUCAACAGAAAUGCUACUGUCUCCUUCAUUCUUUGCGAGAAUGCGUGAUUAGCAAGAAAGUGAAGAAGUUCUCUCUGGCUGAUGAAGAACAAACAAAACAAAUGAAGAAGAAUGCUUGAAGGAAUUUUGUAAGAGAAGGAUAUUGUUCAUCUUAAAGUGGAGAACUUGAAAAUCAUGAUUCAAAUGAGGAGGAAAAGAAGAAGAAGAAGAACUAACCAUCGCUAGCAGCAGGAGGUUGGGCCGGAGCCAGAGAUUGAGCACAAGCAGGGAGAAGCAUAGCCAAAACAAAAACAACACCAAUGAAGACGCCAAAGGGGAUCUUAUUAGCAACGACCGCCAUUGUUGAAGGAAGA